rnacentral:lncRNA from 1 species
ACAAAAUACUGGUGUAAAGUACUACAACAAUAUAUUCAUACAGUCUAAUGGACGCUGGAGUUAAAUUUUUGACCAGACUUUUAUUAAAAUAGCUUAAUCUUUCUCCCUAAACACCAUCAAUUUUGAUUGUGCAGUGGAAUGGAUGUAAGAGUACCACACAUACAUGCAUACCAUACCACCCCCCCCCAAAAAAAAAUCAAUAAAUAAAUAUAACAAAUUAUAUAGAAGUAAAAAUAAACCGCC